UUUCCGUAGGUGAACCUGCGGAAGGAUCAUUAUUGUAUAACCGAGGUGCGAGGGCUGUCGCUGACCCGAAAGGUCGUGCACGCCCGAGUGCCCUCACACACAUCCAUCUUACCCCUAUGUGCACCACCGCGUGGGUCCCCCUUUGGCUUGUUCGGAGGGGGGCUUACGUUUUCACACAAACUUUGUAUGCUGUGUAGAAUGUAUUUUUUGUUUUUGCGAUCACGCAAUCAAUACAACUUUCAACAACGGAUCUCUUGGCUCUC
rnacentral:misc_RNA from 1 species